GCCCCCUGCCCUGAAGCUCUGGAUCACCCAUGUGACCGAGCUGCUCCUCCAUGAGCCCUGGCAUCUCUUUCCAGCUUGGCCUCCGCUUGGAAAAUGCAGAGAAAAUCAUCCACAGGCUGUUGGGCGGGAAGUCAUUCUGGGGGCAGGAAGAGGAGAGAGAGGGCCAGCCGGAGAAGUCCUCAGAGCCAGACCCAGGGCCCUCAGCACAGGCAGCCAAACCUGACUGUCCAGAAGAAAGGUCCAGAAAGAUGAGAGACCUGCAGCAGAAGCUCCAAGCUGUAUCUCAUCACUGGGGAUGGCGUGAGGAGCCUCAGUGAUGUCCACAGCUCUUCUGGGGCCCAGUCCUGUACUGACGAGAAAGGUAGGUGGGGCGAGGGGGGGUCCUUGCCAUGCUCUCCCAAGUUGGGCAUGUGGGGGCCAUGCCAGCUCCAGAUGCUAGAGUAGCUCUUCUGCCUAAAAGUAUUUAUACUCCUCCUUUGAUUCUGCUUCUAGAACUCUAUCCUAUGAAAAUAAACGAAAAUCACUUUAAAAUGUGUUGUGG
rnacentral:lncRNA from 1 species